rnacentral:rRNA from 1 species
UACAGAGGUCUCGAGCGUUAGGCGGAAUCACUGGGCUUAAAGCGCACGUAGGCGGCUUCUUAAGUCAGGGGUGAAAUCCUGGAGCUCAACUCCAGAACUGCCCUUUGAUACUGGGGAGCUUCGAGUCCGGGAGAGGUGAGUGGAACUGCGAGUGUAGAGGUGAAAUUCGUAGAUAUUCGCAAGAACACCAGUGGCGAAGGCGGCUCACUGGCCCGGUACUGACGCUGAGGUGCGAGAGCGUGGGGAGCAAACAGG